UGGGGAAUAUUGGACAAUGGGGGGAACCCUGAUCCAGCCAUGCCGCGUGUGUGAAGAAGGCCUUAUGUUUGUAAAGCACUUUAAGCGAGGAGGAGGGUACUGGUAUUAAUACUACCAGCUACUGGACGUUACUCGCAGAAUAAGCACCGGCUAACUCUGUGCCAGCAGCCGCGGUAAUACAGAGGGUGCGAGCGUUAAUCGGAUUUACUGGGCAUAAAGCGUGCGUAGGCGGCUAAUUGAGUCGGAUGUGAAAUCCCCGAGCUUAACUUGGGAAUAGCAUUCGAUACUGGUUAGCUAGAGUGUGGGAGAGGAUGGUAGAAUUCCAGGUGUAGCGGUGAAAUGCAUAGAGAUCUGGAGGAAUUCCGAUGGCGAAGGCAGCCAUCUGGCCUAACACUGACGCUGAGGUACGAAAGCAUGGGGAGCAAACAGG
rnacentral:rRNA from 1 species